rnacentral:rRNA from 1 species
GACGAACGCUGGCGGCGUGCUUAACACAUGCAAGUCGAACGGUGAAGCGCCUUCCUUUUUGGUGGGUGUGGAGGAGUGGCGAACGGGGGAGUAACACGUUGGUAACCUGCCCCCUUCUGCUUGAUAACCGCAUGAAAGUGUUGCUAAUACAGGAUAUUCUGGAUCUGUCGCAUGAUGGGUCUGGGAAAGUCUUUGUUUCGGUUGUGGAUGGGCUCGCGGCCUAUCAGCUUGUUGGUGGGGUAACGGCCUACCAAGGCGGUGAUGAGUAGCCGGCCUGAGAGGGUCGACGGUCACGCUGCGAAGGCGACGUCGACACGACUACGGCGGGAGGCAGCAGUGAGGAAUCCUGAACGAUGGGAAGACGGAUGGUGCAGCGACGCGUCAGGGAGGAGGGUCGCCGGAGGGUUAUAAACCUCUUUCGGGGAAGAACCAAGCCUUCCUCAACUGUGGAUAUGUUGACGGUAGCUGAUCAAAAAGCGACGGCUAACUACGUG